rnacentral:rRNA from 1 species
UGGGGAAUAUUGCACAAUGGAGGGAACUCUGAUGCAGCGACGCCGCGUGAGUGAUGAAGGACUUCGUUUCGUAAAACUCUGUUCUAUGGGAAGAAAAGGACUGUACCAUAGGAGAAAGCUCCGGCUAAAUACGUGCCAGCAGCCGCGGUAAUACGUAUGGAGCGAGCGUUGUCCGGAAUUAUUGGGCGUAAAGGGUGCGCAGGCGGCUUUACAAGUUGGAUGUGAAAUAUUGUGGCUCAACCACAAACGUGCAUACAAAACUGCAAAGCUUGAGUUAAGGAGAGGUAAGUGGAAUUCCUGGUGUAGCGGUGGAAUGCGUAGAUAUCAGGAGGAAUACCGGUGGCGAAGGCGACUUACUGGACUUAAACUGACGAUAAGGCACGAAAGCGUGGGGAGAAAAAAGG